rnacentral:rRNA from 1 species
UACGUAGGGUGCGAGCGUUGUCCGGAAUUAUUUGGGCGUAAAGGGCUCGUAGGCGGUUUGUCGCGUCGGGAGUGAAAACCUUGGGCUUAACUCAGGGCUUGCUUUCGAUACGGGCAGACUAGAGGUAUGCAGGGGAGAACGGAAUUCCUGGUGGAGCGGUGAAAUGCGCAGAUAUCAGGAGGAACACCCGUAGCGAAGGCGGCACUCUGGGCCGAUUCUGACACUGAGGAGCGAAAGCGUGGGGGAGCGAACAGG